UUAUAUAUUAGUAACGAUGUAUCGAGUGGGAGAAUAAAGAUAAAUAUAAAGCGAGAAGUAGAAUAAUUAACUGUUUAUUUAUAUAUUUGUAGCGAUGUAUCGAGUGGGAGAAUAAAGAAUAAUAUGAGGCGAGAAGCUGAAUAAUUAACUACUUAUUUAUAUAUUAGUAGUGAUGUGUCGAUUAGUGGGAGUUUAUAUUAUAUGAGAGUACAUGUAGAUAUGUACUAAUUAAUAUUUGAUGAUAAUGUUUUUUGAAACCUUUUGUUUUUUGGUAAACUAAUGUGAUGAAAGUUUUUGAAAUAUUGUUCUGGAAAUGAGAUUGUGGCCUUUUAAAUAAAAGUUGUAAAGUAUUAGAUAAAAGUUGUAAAGUAUGUACUAACGCUUCAAGCAGAGUCGAUUGAGGGGGUGUGUUAUUGUGAAGGUUGAAUAUGCAAUCGACUCAUGCUUGACCAAAUUUAAGUUUGGAACCUCAGUUGUCUAUGUGCAGACUUUUGAGUUUU